rnacentral:rRNA from 1 species
AGCAGUAGGGAAUAUUGCGCAAUGGAGGAAACUCCGACGCAGCAAUGCCACGUGAGUGAGGAAGGUCUUCGGAUUGUAAAGCUCUGUCCUAUAGGAAGAACGGCACUAGGUAACGCUAGGUGUUUGACGGUACUAUAGAAGAAAGCACCGGCUAACUCCGUGCCAGCAGCCGSGGUAAUACGGAGGGUGCAAGCGUUGUUCGGAUUUACUGGGCGUAAAGCGCGCGCAGGCGGACAAUCAAGUCAGAUGUGAAWUCUCGGGGCUUAACCCCGAAACUGCGUCUGAAACUGGUUGUCUAGAGUCUCACAGGGGGUUGGGGAAUUUCACGUGUAGGGSUAAAAUCCGUAGAGAUGUGAAGGAACACCAGUGGCGAARGGCGRCAGAUC